ACUCCUACGGGAGGCAGCAGUGGGGAAUAUUGCACAAUGGGCGCAAGCCUGAUGCAGCCAUGCCGCGUGUGUGAAGAAGGCCUUCGGGUUGUAAGCACUUUUCAGUCGUGAGGAAGGUAGUGUAGUUAAUAGCUGCAUUAUUUUGACGUUUUAGCGACAGAAGAAGCACCGGCUAACUCCGUGCCAGCAGCCGCGGUAAUACGGAGGGUGCGAGCGUUAAUCGGAAUUACUGGGCGUAAAGCGCAUGCAGGUGGUUUGUUAAGUCAGAUGUGAAAGCCCGGGGCUCAACCUCGGAAUUGCAUUUGAAACUGGCAGACUAGAGUACUGUAGAGGGGGUAA
rnacentral:rRNA from 1 species